UACAGAGGGUGCAAGCGUUGCUCGGAUUUACUGGGCGUAAAGCGUACGCAGACGGUGAGGAAGGUCGGAUGUGAAAGCCCUGGGCUCAACCCAGGAACUGCAUCCGAAACCCCCUCGCUAGAGUAUAGGAGAGGGAAGCGGAAUUCCUGGUGUAGAGGUGAAAUUCGUAGAUAUCAGGAGGAACAUCUGCGGCGAAGGCGGCUUCCUGGUCUAUUACUGACGUUCAGGUACGAAAGCGUGGGUAGCAAACAGG
rnacentral:rRNA from 1 species